AUUGAACGCUGGCGGCAGGCCUAACAAAUGCAAGUCGAGCGGAGCGGCGGACGGGUGAGUAAUGCCUAGGAAUCUGCCUGGUAGUAGGGGAUACAGUCCGGAAACGGGCGCUAAUACCGCAUAAUUGCAGAUAAGCCUGGUUCGGAUUAGCUAGUUGGUGGGGUAAAGGCUUACAAAGGAGACGAUCCGUAACUGGUCUGAGAGGAUGAUCAGUCACACGGGAACUGAGACACGGUCCAGACUCCUACGGGAGGCAGCAGUGGGGAAUAUUGGACAAUGGGCGAAAGCCUGAUCCAGCCAUGCCGCGUGUGUGAAGAAGGUCUUCGGAUUGUAAAGCACUUUAAGUUGAGAGGCGUUACCAACAGAAUAAGCACCGGCUAACUUCGUGCCAGCAGCCGCGGUAAUUC
rnacentral:rRNA from 1 species